UACGGAGGGGGCUAGCGUUGUUCGGAAUUACUGGGCGUAAAGCGCGCGUAGGCGGACCUGCAAGUCGGGGGUGAAAGCCCGAGGCUCAACCUCGGAACUGCCUUCGAUACUGCGGGUCUCGAGUCCGGGAGAGGUGAGUGGAAUUCCUAGUGUAGAGGUGAAAUUCGUAGAUAUUAGGAAGAACACCAGUGGCGAAGGCGGCUCACUGGCCCGGUACUGACGCUGAGGCGCGAAAGCGUGGGGAGCAAACAAGGG
rnacentral:rRNA from 1 species